AUUGCUUCAAAAACCUCAAGUGUCGUUCUGUUACAGCGAGGUUUAGGCUAUGUAGUGUUGUACGAAGCGACAUCAGUCGCUUAUGUGUUGCCGUAGUGGGGUUUGUUUUAUGGGUGGAUUCUACUGUGGCCAGGUCUUUCUCUACCUUGUCCAGUGUUGUGUUGUGCAGCCUCUUUGUCCUAGCCCCUAUCUGGAUUAAUUCUCCCCUCAUGACCGCCUUAUGGGCCAGCCAUUUUGUGGUGUCGGAUGACGAGCAGUCAACGUGGUCAGCGAAAAAUUCCGCAGCCCGGACCUGUAGUCGUUGAAGAUGUGCUGGUACGUCUAAUAGACCUUCAUUCAGGCGCCAUGUGCCUCUACCCCUAGCUGGGUACGGAAUUCGCAUAGUGACAACGUACGGGGCAUGGUCAGACCACGUGAUCGGCCCAAUAUGAGCCUUAAUGGCGAGGGGCAAUGUUUUGGUGUCGAGUAGACAAAGGUCAAUUCUCGUGUAGGUCCUAUGGACCGACGAGUAGUACGUGUAGUCCCUCCCACUCGGGUGCAAGCCUCUCCAUGUGUCAUAGAAGUCAUGCCCGUGCAAUAAUUUCCUAAAGUGUUGGCCUAGUGAGAUUGAAUGUUGUUGUGGUAAUUUGUUCCCCUCACGUUUUAUAUCGACAUCGGGAUCUGGAACGCAAUUAAAGUCCCCG